UGAUAUAGUAAACCGAUUUGAACCAAAUUUGGAAAGGAUGUAUAAGGCUUACUUUAAUGCAUAUUCAAUAAGUUUGGUUACGAUAUCUCAAAAAA